UGCCUGUGGACUAACUCCCUCACAACGGGCCAGCUGAAUACUUCCUGUUUCUUCCUGGUCGUAUUGAGGGAGAGAAAAAUGGUUUCC
rnacentral:pre_miRNA from 2 species